UGUGGGGGAAAUGAUUCUUGUGUGUGUGUGUGUGUGUGCCAAAGUCCUUAAUAAGGCACGGGUAGAAAAGAAAAAGAAAAAAAAGAAACAUUCGUGGAAAAUAGAAUGAAAAGAAGAAAAGUUGUGAAAAUAGUGAAAAAGAGUUGAAAAAUUUGUGAAAAAAAAGUGAAAAAAAGCUCUAAAGUGUUGUUUGUUGAAGAAAGGGUCCAAAACAUUGAAUGCGGCCCUAAGUGUUGCUUGAAUCUUCCCUUUGUGUUUAAAAGUUAAUUUAUGCAUUAUUAAGUGAAUUCCAAGUGUCUAUUUCAUUACUUUGCUUGCUAUUGCUUUCAGAAUGUUUGUUAUCCUUAUCCUUUCUUUGUUAGCCAUUACCCUUAAACCCCGUUACAACCCUUAACUUUAUCUUGAGUGUUAUGCGUUUCAAUAUGUGGAGUUUGGAAUUGGUUUGAGCAUAUAGUGUCACUGGUUCUUGCAUCUAAGUAGUAGCAUUCCAUACAUGAGAUCAUAUCUAAACAUGUUGAAUAACUCCAGAAAAUUGCCCUCUUUGUUAUACAUAUAUGUGAGUGUUCGUUUUCAUGUUUACAUCAAUCUUCUCACAUAUAACUAGUGUAGGGUGUGUAGUCAGAAAAUGUGUGUGAAAAUAGAGAGUAUCUUGUAAGGAAUUGAGUAAAUUCUCUAAGGCAUGUUACUACAUUCAAAACAUCGUUUUAAUUGGUUAAUUGUGAACUAGUAAGUGGUGACUAUAAGUAUGUGCUCAAGUGUAAGGAUGACCAAAAUCUGUGGGAAUGAUGAUUUUUAAGAUGUCAUGUUUCAUUAAAAAUCCCUGAGGCAAUUGUUGGAAGGUCUAGGUUGUGUUUUGUUUUUUUUGUUUUUGUUUUGUUUUGUUUUUGCUCAAGGACUAGCAAAAGCUAAGUGUGGGGGAAUUUGAUAGGAGCAUAUUUAUGCGACUUAGUUAGCUUGUUUCUUGGCAUUUAUAUUGUUAGUUCGUAGUUAUUUUAGUAUUUUAAUCUAUUUUCGUGUGUUUGUAGGUCCAAAGGGUUAAUGUGGCAAAGAAGUGCAUUUUGGAGCAUUUUGGAGCAUUUUUGGGCAUGGAAUGGAUGGCAUAUGCUUGGAGCAAAAGGAAUGGACGAAAUUUGAAGUCUGUGCAUCAUUUUAGCACACUCAUUACCAAACACUCAUCCACUACACCCAUUACAU
rnacentral:lncRNA from 1 species